CACACAGAAACACUAACAAAUUACCACAUCAUAUGACACAUAAAAAUACUUGUCAAAAACUAUAAAUUAAGGACAUGUACAAAUAAAACAUUUGUGAAAUUUUCAUUCAAUGACAUACCUUCUUUAUGUUUGUGUACAUGAAAAUGCUAUUCACAUGACUUGUUAUGCAUAUGUAAUGCAAAUGACUUGGUUUUAGAACAUGCAACAUAUUUAAUGUAGCAUGAAUAGACAUAAUUAUUUGAAGGGAAGAUACUACUUAUAAAAAAUCUAAUUUAAAAAAAAUUUAAAUAAUAAAAACAAUUAAUCAAUGUAUUCAGUCAAUUAUAUGUGAGUACAACAUCUUUCUUGUUGUAGCAGAAAAAGCUGCAGCUACAUAAAAAUUAAAAUUACAAUAAAAGUAAUCAAUCUAUGCAAGAAGUCAAAUAUAAUUGUAUAUAACUAUUAAAUAUUAAAUAUAAGUAAACUUGACUUAUUAAAUUGAUUGAUUGAAUUAAAAGAUAUAUUCGUAAAACGUUAAGAUGCUUGUUACAUAUAUCAGGAAAAACAAAAUUAAAAAAUUAUUAGAGAACCUCUUUGUAAAAUAUUUUUUGAAACUGAAAUCUUUUUUGAUUUUGUUCAAAUUCUUUGAAAAUAUUUAUUCAAUAACGUUUGUAGGCAUCUAAAUAAGCUUAUUUUGUAAAAAAGUCAAAUUUGAUUUUUUUACUGUAAGACUUUUUUAAAAAUAGCUACAGUAUUAUAAAAUAGUAUUGUAGUUUAAAAGCAAUCAAUUAAUGUCCUAAGUCAAGUAUGAGUACAAAAACACUUAUUGAGCCAGACGAAGCAGCCAGACUACACUUUUACUGUAAACUCACAAUCCAAGUUACAACACUUUAAAUACACAUAAAACACAUUGAAGCACUUUGUAUAUUACAGGAAUUUACACAUUUAUGAAAUAUAAUUUAUGAUUGCAUCUAAUUAUUUAAUAUAAAAUUUAAAACCCUAUAACUGAUACAACAGAUAUAACAGAUUAUAACAGAGUUAAUAAAGAUUUGAGAAUACAUUAUCAUAUGGUCAAAAAAUAUAAAGUGAUUUAUUAUAUUGUCAAGUGUAACAAUACGCACGAAUAAGUAACACACACAAAUGAGUAAGGAGCAAUAAAAUUAAACAUUAGUUAUAGAAGACUAAUUCAGGCCUUCUUGUAAGAGGCGUGCGAUAGGACGCUUUAUAUGACCAAGCAUAUAGUUCUUUGUUUAAACAACUUGACCACGGCUCUUUGCAAGUUUUGAUAAUUAGCGCAUUUAAAAAAUACGUUAAAAAAACAAAUCAAAUGUAAAUGCGAUUUUUAAUUGAUUCAUUAAUUACAAUUAAAUUGCCAUGAGUACUUUAAUAAAACCUAGUAAAAGCAAUCGUUGAAUAAAAAUUCAGAUUAGAAUUUAUAGCAAAAUGAGUACAGAAGCUAUCAAAAAAUAAUUACAAACCGUUUUAUCAUGGAAAUAUAAUUUCUAAUAAAGAAACUAUUGACUAAAAGAAAGAAAAAUUAUUUACUAAAAAAUUAUUUACUAUAAAAAAAUCUUGAAACAGUCUCAUUUGCCAACUAUUAUUUAUCCCAGAGUGUGACAUACCGUUUUUUUAAUGAACGUUGACUUGCGUAUCUUUAUUUAUUGACAAACCUUUAAUUUAAAGGAUCCCUAAGUGCUAUAAAGAUAUGAUCUCAUAUGAAAGAGCAUUAAAAAAAAAAUGUUUGAUGUAUAUUAUUUUUUCUAAAACGUAAUAAUGAACACACACUAACAAAUUUAAUUUUCAAAAAAACGCUUUUGUUCGAUUAAAAAAAAUGCGUCUUGUCCUGUCACGGAGAAAACAGUCCGCAGAGUAAACUGUCCGGCCGGACAGUUUACUCCGGAGUAGAAUGUCCUAGUUGGUCCUAUCCGUCCGGUUAGGACAAUUUACUCCGGAGCAAACUGUCCUACGUUGGAGUAAACUGUCCUACCAGAGUUGCUAAAAAGUCGAAACCUAAAACGCCGGAAAACCGAAAUGCCAAAAACAAACAUAAAAUUCUGUUUCCUUUUGGGUAAGGAAACACAAAAUUCUGUUUCCUUUUGGGUAGUUUUUUGCAACGGAAUUGCCAAAUGUUUUGAAAAUGUUUAUCACAACUUAGGUACAUAUAUUAUAAAAUAAUUUUGAACCGUUACUGCCUGCUCUUUGAUGAAAUGUAAAGAGAAGUUUUUGACAAGUUAUUGCGCAUUUUACUUGUUUAAAAGUAUAAGUCAUAAUUAAUUUACAGAAUAAACACAAACAGUUUGUUUAAAUAUCAAUAAUAAACGUUUAUUAUUGGUAUUUAAACAAAACUGUUUGUUUAAACCUUUCACUGGCAAUUGGUGUCUAAAUGUGAAAAGAAAAGCUUAAGUUGUUGUACUCAAUGGUUUUCUUUCCAGACACUGCUGAACUUAGAUUUAUGGAUGUUUUAGCCUAAGAAAAUAUAACUUCUAUGUAAAAUGGAAAAGUUUACUAAUAUGUUUUUCCUGUGAUAUUACAGUUAGAGUCUUUAGAGUUAAUUCAGCAUUUACAGCUACUAAGCGGUGGAAGUAUAUCCGCAGAUUGAGUAAACAGAUUAAAUCCUCAACAGUUAAAAUAACUGUGGUUGUGCAGGAAUACAGUUAUGUUGUUGCAUAUUGGAUUUAUAGAAGAUGAUAAUGUAUAGUUUCCACAAGGCUUAAAAGAUGGCAAAUAGUCUAUAAAUGAUCAGGAGAGUAAGGGCUUUUCGUACAUGGCUAGUUUUGUAUAACCCAAGAUCAUUUGCUGUGAAUAGCUCCUGCACUUGAUAUUGUUACUUAAUUUAAAAAACUGACGGCGUAUGUACUAAAAAAUACU